GUGCUCGUUUUGGCAGCACGUACACUAAAAUUAGAAUGAUACACAGAAGAUUAGCAUGGCCCCUGUGCAAGGAUGACACAAAUUCAUGAAGCGUUUCAUAUUUUU
rnacentral:snRNA from 1 species